UGCGUUUUAAUUUUUAACUCUAAUUAUUGUAGUAUUUUUUCUUUUGUUUCUAUUUUUUAUUUUAAUUUUUUGUAAAAUGUUUUAGUUUAUUUUUGUUUUGAGGAAAUACUUAAAAUUUGUUUUAUUGAACUGGAUUAGUACCCAGGUAAUCAAAAUUAAUUAAUUCGGGAGUAAAGUUUUGUUUAAACCGAAAAAAUAUUGACUGACUUUAGAUUUCUUUUUGGAACAUGUGUAUGGAGAGCCCUCCUUUUAAGUAAAUUUUUUUUUGCUCAUGUAUGAUUGUUUAGUUUUUAUGUUAUUUUGUAAUGCUUUUUUUUUUUAAUCUAAAACAGAUAAAUACUUGGCUAAUGGGUUUAUGAUCAUGUGUUACUAUUAAUAAUUUUUUUUGGAUAGUUUUUUAUUUUUUAUUUGAAAUUGGAAAAAAAAGUAAUUAUUUUUUUAUGUAUUAGUGAAUUUAAUAAAUAAAGU
rnacentral:rRNA from 1 species